UGGGGAAUAUUGGACAAUGGGCGCAAGCCUGAUCCAGCCAUGCCGCGUGGAUGAUGAAGGCCUUAGGGUUGUAAAGUCCUUUUAACGGGGAAGAUAAUGACGGUACCCGUAGAAUAAGCCCCGGCUAACUUCGUGCCAGCAGCCGCGGUAAUACGAAGGGGGCUAGCGUUGCUCGGAAUCACUGGGCGUAAAGCGCACGUAGGCGGCUUUCUAAGUCAGGGGUGAAAUCCUGGAGCUCAACUCCAGAACUGCCUUUGAUACUGGGAAGCUCGAGUCCGGAAGAGGUGAGUGGAACUGCGAGUGUAGAGGUGAAAUUCGUAGAUAUUCGCAAGAACACCAGUGGCGAAGGCGGCUCACUGGUCCGGUACUGACGCUGAGGUGCGAAAGCGUGGGGAGCAAACA
rnacentral:rRNA from 1 species